rnacentral:misc_RNA from 1 species
UCCGGUUUGUCACCGGCAGUCUGGCGUGAGUCCCCAACUUAAUGCUGGCAACACGCCACGGGGGUUGCGCUCGUUGCGGGACUUAACCCAACAUCUCACGACACGAGCUGACGACAGCCAUGCAGCAUCUGUGGUGCACCCUCGAAGGUCACACGUUUCCGUGCGCUUGCAGCGCCAUGUCAAGCCCAGGUAAGGUGGGGAUGACGUCGAAUACGUAAC